UAGUAUUAGAAAUAUUAAUGAGUUAAUAUUUAACGUUUUGGGAAUUUUCCGAGUAAUUAAGAUUUGACCGGAAAUAUGAGACAUUGAGUUAUUAGAGGAUUUUAUCAGUAUUUAUUUUACUAUUUUAUUUGACUUUAUUUGGUGUGUUAAUUAAUUAAUUGAUUGUUAGAUAGUAUAAUAAUUGAUUAUAUUAAUUAACUUGGUGUGUAUAUUUGUGUCUAUUUAAUUAUUGGUGUUAUUUAAUUUAGUAACUAAAAGAGAAAUAAUAUAUAGUAUAUACUUUAUUGGGCUUAUUUAAUGAUGUUAGGAGUAAAUAGGGAGUGUUAUAAUUAGGCCCAUAUUGUGUAGUUGGUAAGGGUUAGAGGUGAGGGAGUGUCACAUUUCCUUUUCAUUUUCUUCUUUCACGGAUAGAGAGGCAGAGAAAGCAUAGAAAGAAAAGAAGGAAAAGAGAAAAGAGAAAGGGGAAGAACAAAGGGGAGCUAAGGUUUGGAGGAGAAAUUAAAGAGGUUCUGGAGUUUAGUAGCUCGUGCAUGAUCUAGCCGGAGAUUCUUCCGUGUUUGUUGGAUAUUAGGCAGUGAGUCGAUGCUCUGGUCAUGUAACACUGGGUAGACUAGUCGUGUUGAACUCAUGUUUCUAUUUGGUUAUGUAUUAUGUUAUGACUUGAGAACCUGUUUAUUUGGCUACUUGUUGUUGAGAGGCUUUUAAGCCAAAUAUUCUGAUUAUGGUUUAUUUUAUGUUGAGAUGAUUAUUGAGAUAUGAUCAUGGUAUGGGACAUGAAUCAUUUUAUGAAA